rnacentral:ncRNA from 1 species
CUGUGAAUUACUAUCACAGUAUGGACUGUACCUUAAGCUCGUAAGCCAAUAUCCAUCCAGUCUCUGAACCUAUUAUUGGCUGCGGAUUGACCAAAUGUUUGUAUUAUUACCGAAGUAACAAACAUGUUAGGUGUUUCCCGCAAUUUGGAUAUUUCGCAGAUGGUAAACCAUCUACUAGUUCCUAAGAACUUUCGCAGACUUUCGUUAAAUCUGCAUUG